AUGUAUUUCUGGUAGCAGCUAACUUUCCCCGACGCUCCUUCUGGGCAGAAAAUUUAUGCCGUUCGGCCUCUGAUUGCCCUGAAGAAAGAUCAGAGUCUUGGAUUAAAAUUUUAACAUCGGCAAAACGCUUAUCGCCUGGACCUUUCUGAACAGCAUUGAUAGCAUUCCGAAGUUCACGAUGAACUUUUGCACCGUCCUUUGACGAAGGAACAAUAAACCCUAAAGAAAUUAAAUUCCUCGGAUAGUCAAGCUCAAGAAGAUUUUUCCAAUACUGUGGAUAAAAUCGAGCAAUAGGAGUUAAGAUUAACACCUCCUCUUUGUUACGAAUGGGAUCGGAAGAUUCCGUAAUUUUGUUCAUAUCGUAUAUUUCGUAAGAAUUCCCCCCACGGUUUUCAAUCUGAACUUUGGCAUUUGAAUUGACAGAUGGAGUAAAUAGGUAAUAGAUGAAAGUAAUACCGAGGGCCACA